AAUGGUUUCAGAGAGCUUCCUUCAGUCCACUCAUGGAUGAUAUAAGGGGUUGAAUUAUCUGCUGACUCAUUCAUUCAAACACUAAGUAGAAGAGGAAUAGUUUUACUACUGUGACUGUGUGAAUGAUGCGGGAGAUAAAUUUCAUCCUUUCCCCUCUAUGCUUGGACUGAAGGGAGCUCCCUUUUUCUGUUUC
rfam:Macleaya cordata isolate BLH2017 scaffold8923, whole genome shotgun sequence.